AUACGGAGGGGGCUAGCGUUGUUCGGAUUUACUGGGCGUAAAGCGCACGUAGGCGGUUUAUCAAGUUAGGCGUGAAAGCCCCGGGCUCAACCCGGGAACUGCGCUUAUUACUGAUAGACUAGAGAGCGGGAGAGGGUAGCGGAAUUCCCAGUGUAGAGGUGAAAUUCGUAGAUAUUGGGAAGAACACCAGUUGCGAAGGCGGCUACCUGGCCCGGUACUGACGCUGAGGUGCGAAAGCGUGGGGAGCAAACAGGAUUAGAUACCCCAGUAGUCC
rnacentral:rRNA from 1 species